CCACGAUCUCAGAGGUGAAAGGCGCCUGCUCUGGCGACUGCCUCCAUACAAUUAUGUCUUGCUUAAUGUACCUAUUAAAUAUAUUUCCGUUUCUACUAUUCCAGUCCACUUGUUCGUGAAUUCCUGUCUAUCGACAAUCCACGGAAUGCGUCCGUCCACGAAGACGAUGAGAAUGAAACCAAUGGAAUGAACCACGAGAACUCCGAGUCAUUGGUAAGUUCACUGAUACAUGCAAGAGUCUGGGGUGUAUAGAUACAGUAAUGGACCAUUCCCCAAUUAACCAAAAUUUUGAUCUCAACAAGUCUAGACAAAAUUCCAUCAUAGCAUGAAAGAGCAUCACAAAAUUAGUAAUAUUCCAAAGUUUCGUUGCGAAAUGUUGUAAAAUGCGGAUAAUAUAGCCUUGCGAAAUUUGCAAUUUUCAGUCAUUUUAGAUUACAAACGGGAAAUGGUUACCACUUUUCCAAAAUUUUGAUCCUAACUAGCC